rnacentral:rRNA from 1 species
GUCCACGCCGUAAACGAUGGAUACUAGCUGUUGGAAGCAAUUUCAGUGGCUAAGCGAAAGUGAUAAGUAUCCCACCUGGGGAGUACGUUCGCAAGAAUGAAACUCAAAGGAAUUGACGGGGGCCCGCACAAGCGGUGGAGCAUGUGGUUUAAUUCGAUGAUACGCGAGGAACCUUACCAAGGCUUAAAUGUAGAUUGACCGGACUGGAAACAGUUUUUUCGCAAGACAAUUUACAAGGUGCUGCAUGGUUGUCGU